AUUGAACGCUGGCGGCACGCCUAACACAUGCAAGUCGAGCGGCAGCGAGACUAGUAGCAAUACUAGUUGUCGGCGAGCGGCGGACGGGUGAGUAACACGUAGGAAUCUGCCCUUAAGCGGGGGAUAACCAAGGGAAACUUUGGCUAAUACCGCAUAAUCUCGAGAGAGCAAAGCUGCCCGCAAGGGUGGCACUUGAGGAGGAGCCUGCGUCCGAUUAGCUAGUUGGUGGGGAAAUGGCCUACCAAGGCGAUGAUCGGUAACUGGUCUGAGAGGACGACCAGUCACACUGGGACUGGGACACGGCCCAGACUCCUACGGGAGGAAGCAGUGGGGAAUAUUGGACAAUGGGGGCAACCCUGAUUCAGCGAUGCCGCGUGAGUGAAGAAGGCCUUCGGGUCGUAAAGCUCUUUAGGUUGGGAAGAAGUGUAUUGGCUGAAUAAUCCAGUACAUUGACGGUACCGACAGAAUAAGCACCGGCAAACUCUGUGCCAGCCGCCGCGGUAAUAC
rnacentral:rRNA from 1 species